UACGAGGGGGGCAAGCGUUGUUCGGAAUUAUUGGGCGUAAAGGGUGCGUAGGCGGUUUUGUAAGUCUUGUGUGAAAUCUUCAGGCUCAACUUGAAGACUGCACGAGAAACUGCAGGGCUUGAGUGUGGGAGAGGUGAGUGGAAUUCCUGGUGUAGCGGUGAAAUGCGUAGAGAUGUGGAGGAACACCGAUGGCGAAGGCAGCCCCCUGGGCUGAGAUUGACGCUCAGGCACGAAAGCGUGGGGAGCAAACAGG
rnacentral:rRNA from 1 species